GUGAACGCUGGCGGUAGGCCUAACACAUGCAAGUCGAACGGCAGCACUGAGGAGCUUGCUCCUUGGGUGGCGAGUGGCGGACGGGUGAGGAAUACAUCGGAAUCUACUCUUUCGUGGGGGAUAACGUAGGGAAACUUACGCUAAUACCGCAUACGACCUUCGGGUGAAAGCAGGGGAUCGCAAGACCUUGCGCGAUUGAAUGAGCCGAUGUCGGAUUAGCUAGUUGGCGGGGUAAAGGCCCACCAAGGCGACGAUCCGUAGCCGGUCUGAGCGGAGGAUAAGCCACACUGGAGCUGAGACACGGUCCAGACUCCUACGGGGGGCAGCAGUGGGGAAUAUUGGACAAUGGGCGCAAGCCUGAUCCAGCCAUACCGCGUGGGUGAAGAAGGCCUUCGGGUUGUAAAGCCCUUUUGUUGGGAAAGAAAAGCACACGGUUAAUACCCGAGUGUUCUGACGGUACCCAAAGAAUAAGCACCGGCUAACUUCGUGCCAGCAGCCGCCGUAA
rnacentral:rRNA from 1 species